CAGCGCCACGAGUGGGGACCAGUAUUAUUGGGCCUAAAGCAUCUGUAGCCGGAUUAGUAAAUUCUUUGUGAAAUCAUAGGGCUCAACCUUAUGGCGUGCAGAGAAGACUGCUAAUCUUGAGACCGGGAGGAGUUAGAGGAAUGCAAUGGGUAGUGGUAAAAUGCUAUAAUCCUUUGUAGACCACCUGUGGCGAAGGCGUCUAACUAGAACGGGUCUGACGGUGAGGAACGAAGCCCUGGGGCGCAAACCGGAUUAGAGACCCGAGUAGUCC
rnacentral:rRNA from 1 species